GCAGGGCAUGGUGGUGCACGCCUGUGAUCCCAGUAACUUGGGAGGCUGAGGCAGGAGGAUCGUGAGUUCAAAGGCAAUGAGGCCCUAAGCAACUUUGCAAGACCCUGUCUCAA
rnacentral:sRNA from 1 species